rnacentral:sRNA from 1 species
GUCGAGCGAAUCGAUGGGAGCUUGCUCCCUGAGAUUAGCGGCGGACGGGUGAGUAACACGUGGGUAACCUGCCUGUAAGACUGGGAUAACUUCGGGAAACCGGAGCUAAUACCGGAUACGUUCUUUUCUCGCAUGAGGGAAGAUGGAAAGAUGGUUCUGCUAUCACUUACAGAUGGACCCGCGGCGCAUUAGCUAGUUGGUGAGGUAACGGCUCACCAAGGCGACGAUGCGUAGCCGACCUGAGAGGGUGAUCGGCCACACUGGGACUGAGACACGGCCCAGACUCCUACGGGAGGCAGCAGUGGG